rnacentral:rRNA from 1 species
GGCUCAGUAACACGUAGUCAACCUACCCUAUGGACGAGAAUAAUCUCGGGAAACUGAGCAUAAUUCUUGAUAGAUCAUAAUGCCUGGAAUGGUUUAUGGUUAAAAUGAUUCGUCGCCAUAGGAUGGGACUGCGGCCUAUCAGCUUGUUGGUGAGGUAAUGGCCCACCAAGGCGAUUACAGGUACGGGCUCUGAGAGGAGAAGCCCGGAGAUGGGUACUGAGACACGGACCCAGGCCCUAUGGGGCGCAGCAGGCGAGAAAACUUUGCAAUGUGCGAAAGCACGACAAGGUUAAUCCGAGUGAUUUCUGCUAAAGAAAUCUUUURCCAGUCGUAAAACCGCUGGUGAAUAAGGGGUGGGCAAGUUCUGGUGUCAGCCGCCGCGGUAAAACCAGCACCUCAAGUGGUCAGGAUGAUUAUUGGGCCUAAAGCAUCCGUAGCCGGCUUUGUAAGUUUUCGGUUAAAUCCAUGUGCUCAACACAUGGGCUGCCGAAAAUACUGCAUAGCUAGGGAGUGGAAGAGGUAGACGGUACUCAGUAGGUAGGGGUAAAAUCCUUUGAUCUAUUGAUGACCACCUGUGGCGAAGGCGGUCUACCAGAACACGUUCGACGGUGAGGGAUGAAAKCUGGGGGAGCAAACCGGAUUAKAUACCCGGGUAGUCCCAGCUGUAAACGAUGCGGACUCGAUGAUGCAUUGGCAUAAUAGCCAUUGCAGUGUCGCAGGGAAGCCGUU